UAGGGAAUCUUCGGCAAUGGACGAAAGUCUGACCGAGCAACGCCGCGUGAGGGAAGAAGGUUUUCGGAUCGUAAAACUCUGUUGUUAGAGAAGAACAAGGACGUUAGUAACUGAACGUCCCCUGACGGUAUCUAACCAGAAAGCCACGGCUAACUACGUGCCAGCAGCCGCGGUAAUACGUAGGUGGCAAGCGUUGUCCGGAUUUAUUGGGCGUAAAGCGAGCGCAGGCGGUUUCUUAAGUCUGAUGUGAAAGCCCCCGGCUCAACCGGGGAGGGUCAUUGGAAACUGGGAGACUUGAGUGCAGAAGAGGAGAGUGGAAUUCCAUGUGUAGCGGUGAAAUGCGUAGAUAUAUGGAGGAACACCAGUGGCGAAGGCGGCUCGCUGGUCUGUAACUGACGCUGAGGCUCGAAAGCGUGGGGAGCAAACAGG
rnacentral:rRNA from 1 species